rnacentral:rRNA from 1 species
UACGAAGGGGCUAGCGUUGCUCGGAAUCACUGGGCGUAAAGGGUGCGUAGGCGGGUUUUAAGUCAGAGGUGAAAUCCUGGAGCUCAACUCCAGAACUGCCUUUGAUACUGAAAGUCUUGAGUAUGGGAGAGGUGAGUGGAACUGCGAGUGUAGAGGUGAAAUUCGUAGAUAGUUCGCAAGAACACCAGUGGCGAAGGCGGACUCAC